rnacentral:rRNA from 1 species
GACGAACGCUGGCGGCGUGCCUAAUACAUGCAAGUCGAGCGGAACUGGGGGAGCUUGCUCCUUCCAGUUUAGCGGCGGACGGGUGAGUAACACGUGGGCAACCUGCCCUGCAGAUCGGGAUAACUCCGGGAAACCGGUGCUAAUACCGAAUAGUUUGGCGCCUCUCCUGAGGCGCCACGGAAAGACGGUUUCGGCUGUCCCCGCAGGAUGGGCCCGCGGCGCAUUAGCUAGUUGGUGGGGUAACGGCCCACCAAGGCGACGAUGCGUAGCCGACCUGAGAGGGUGACCGGCCACACUGGGACUGAGACACGGCCCAGACUCCUACGGGAGGCAGCAGUAGGGAAUCUUCCGCAAUGGACGCAAGUCUGACGGAGCAACGCCGCGUGAGUGACGAAGGUUUUCGGAUCGUAAAACUCUGUUGUGAGGGAAGAACACGUACCAACUAACUAUUGGUACCUUGACGGUACCUCACCAGAAAGCCACGGCUAACUACGUGCCAGCCGCCGCAGUAA